rnacentral:rRNA from 14 species
AGUCAAGUAAUUAAGUGCAUGUGGUGGAUGCCUUGGCAGUCAGAGGCGAUGAAAGACGUGAUAGCCUGCGAAAAGCUCCGGGGAGGCGGCAAAUAUCCUUUGAUCCGGAGAUGUCUGAAUGGGGGAACCCACCUACUUUAAGGUAGGUAUUGCAACAUGAAUACAUAGUGUUGCAAGGCGAACGAGGGGAAGUGAAACAUCUCAGUACCCUUAGGAAAAGAAAUCAAUUGAGAUUCCCUCAGUAGCGGCGAGCGAACGGGGAUCAGCCCAUUAAGUUAUGUGUGUUUUAGUGGAACGCUCUGGGAAGUGCGAACGUAGAGGGUGAUAUUCCCGUACACGAAAGGGCACACAUAAUGAUGACGAGUAGGGCGAGGCACGUGAAACCUUGUCUGAAUAUGGGGGGACCAUCCUCCAAGGCUAAAUACUCCUGACUGACCGAUAGUGAACCAGUACCGUGAGGGAAAGGCGAAAAGAACCCCUGUGAGGGGAGUGAAAUAGAUCCUGAAACCGCAUGCAUACAAGCAGUGGGAGCACCUUCGUGGUGUGACUGCGUACCUUUUGUAUAAUGGGUCAGCGACUUAUAUUCAGUAGCGAGGUUAACCGUAUAGGGGAGCCGUAGAGAAAUCGAGUCUUAAUAGGGCGUUUAGUUGCUGGGUAUAGACCCGAAACCAGGCGAUCUAUCCAUGAGCAGGUUGAAGGUUGGGUAACACUAACUGGAGGACCGAACCCACUGUCGUUGAAAAGCCAGGGGAUGACUUGUGGAUAGGGGUGAAAGGCUAAUCAAGCCUGGUGAUAGCUGGUUCUCCCCGAAAGCUAUUUAGGUAGCGCCUCGGACGAAUACCAUAGGGGGUAGAGCACUGUUUCGGCUAGGGGGUCAUCCCGACUUACCAAACCGAUGCAAACUCCGAAUACCUAUGAGUACUAUCCGGGAGACAGACUGCGGGUGCUAACGUCCGUAGUCAAGAGGAAAACAAUCCAGACCGCCAGCUAAGGCCCCAAAAUCAUAGUUAAGUGGGAAACGAUGUGGGAAGGCAUAGACAGCUAGGAGGUUGGCUUAGAAGCAGCCACCCUUUAAAGAAAGCGUAAUAGCUCACUAGUCGAGUCGGCCUGCGCGGAAGAUGUAACGGGGCUAAAACUAUGUGCCGAAGCUGCGGAUGUAUACUUUGUAUACGUGGUAGGGGAGCGUUCUGUAAGCCGAUGAAGGUGUGUUGAGAAGCAUGCUGGAGGUAUCAGAAGUGCGAAUGCUGACGUGAGUAACGACAAAACGGGUGAAAAACCCGUUCGCCGAAAGACCAAGGGUUCCAGUCCAACGUUAAUCGGGGCUGGGUGAGUCGACCCCUAAGGCGAGGCCGAAAGGCGUAGUCGAUGGGAAAAUGGUUAAUAUUCCAUUACUUCUGUGUAAUGCGAUGAGAGGACGGAGAAGGCUAAAUCAGCCUGGCGUUGGUUGUCCAGGUGAAAGGAUGUAGGCAUGUAUCUUAGGCAAAUCCGGGGUACUCUAUGCUGAGAUCUGAUAGCAAGCUGUACUUGUACAGCGAAGUGGUUGAUGCCAUGCUUCCAGGAAAAGUCUCUAAGCUUCAGUUACACAGGAAUCGUACCCGAAACCGACACAGGUGGUCAGGUCGAGUAGACCAAGGCGCUUGAGAGAACUCUGCUGAAGGAACUAGGCAAAAUGGUACCGUAACUUCGGGAGAAGGUACGCUGUUGUUGGUGAUGGAACUCGCUUCCUGAGCUGACGACAGCCGCAGAAACCAGGCCGCUGCAACUGUUUAUUAAAAACAUAGCACUCUGCAAACACGAAAGUGGACGUAUAGGGUGUGAUGCCUGCCCGGUGCUGGAAGGUUAAUUGAUGGGGUUAGCGUAAGCGAAGCUCUUGAUCGAAGCCCCAGUAAACGGCGGCCGUAACUAUAACGGUCCUAAGGUAGCGAAAUUCCUUGUCGGGUAAGUUCCGACCUGCACGAAUGGCAUAAUGAUGGCGGCGCUGUCUCCAGCAGAGGCUCAGUGAAAUCGAAAUCGCUGUGAAGAUGCAGUGUACCCGCGGCUAGACGGAAAGACCCCGUGAACCUUUACUGCAGCUUGACACUGAACUUUGACCUUACUUGUGUAGGAUAGGUGGGAGGCUUUGAAGCUGGAACGCUAGUUCCAGUGGAGCCGUCCUUGAAAUACCACCCUGGUAAUGUUGAGGUUCUAACUCUGUCCCGUGAUCCGGGACGAGGACCGUGUCUGGUGGGUAGUUUGACUGGGGCGGUCUCCUCCUAAAGAGUAACGGAGGAGUACGAAGGUGCGCUCAGCGUGGUCGGAAAUCACGCGUAGAGUAUAAAGGCAAAAGCGCGCUUAACUGCGAGACCCACAAGUCGAGCAGGUACGAAAGUAGGUCUUAGUGAUCCGGUGGUUCUGUAUGGAAGGGCCAUCGCUCAACGGAUAAAAGGUACUCUGGGGAUAACAGGCUGAUACCGCCCAAGAGUUCAUAUCGACGGCGGUGUUUGGCACCUCGAUGUCGGCUCAUCUCAUCCUGGGGCUGAAGCAGGUCCCAAGGGUAUGGCUGUUCGCCAUUUAAAGAGGUACGCGAGCUGGGUUUAGAACGUCGUGAGACAGUUCGGUCCCUAUCUACCGUGGGCGCUGGAAAUUUGAGAGGAUCUGCUCCUAGUACGAGAGGACCAGAGUGGACGAACCUCUGGUGUACCGGUUGUGACGCCAGUCGCAUCGCCGGGUAGCUAUGUUCGGAAGGGAUAACCGCUGAAAGCAUCUAAGCGGGAAGCCUACCUCAAGAUAAGAUUUCCCUAGGACUUUAUGUCCUCUAAAGAGCCGUUCGAGACUAGGACGUUGAUAGGUUGGAUGUGGAAGCAUAGUGAUAUGUGAAGCUGACCAAUACUAAUUGCUCGUGAGGCUUGACUAU